rnacentral:rRNA from 1 species
UGCGAUACCUAGUGUGAAUUGCAGAAUUCCGNNAAUCAUCGAGUCUUUGAACGCAAGUUGCGCCCGAGGCUUGUCCCGAGGGCAUGCCUGCCUGAGCGUC